CACACACACACACACACACACACACACACACAUACUGGAUGGCUCAAUACUUCACUCAGUUGGCCACACAGACACAUGCCGGGUCCAGAAUUUAAACCAUCCCCUUACACACACAAACACACACAUCACAAAUACAAAGCUCUGCACCUAAAUACACAUACAGCCAGCCAAGUGUAACAGAGACAGCCUGCCACAACCCACCUUUACACACACACACACACACACACACACACACACACACACACACACACACACACACACACACACACACACACACACACACACACACACACACACACACACACACACACACACACACACACACACACACACACACUCACCACACACAUGCACACAUACAUUGCCGGAAUGAUCCAGCUUUGUUGCAUUGCUCAGCAAAAAUGCUCUGUUCCUUCUCCCCUGUCUCUCGUCCACAUUGAUACAAAUCAUAAAUUGAUAAGGUACUAAGAUGUAGAAUGUCUCCAUCAAAUCCAAUAAGAUACAACAGUGUCAUCUUUGGCAGGAUAGAUGGAUUUUCAAGGAAGAGUGGGAGCUGAUCAAGGGGUCGAAAAUGUAGAUAUUGCCAGAUGUAUGUUCACUGUCCGAGGAACAGGCCGUGGAAGCUUAAUUGCUGGGUAACGUGUCCAUAACCAGAGGUAUUUCAACUGUUCUGUUUCUCUCUUCCUCUCUGUCUUGUUGUACAUGGAACCAGUUUCACAUCCAUUCAUUAAAAAACCAUUAAGAUGUCAGCUGCUCAUUUGAAGA